rnacentral:lncRNA from 1 species
CUGGCUUGCCUGGUACACCUCCAUAUGCUAGUAGAAAUAUUAAAACAGAAAGUCCAGGUUCAAGUAUAUCAACCAAAUGGAAAAGUUUUUCAUUUUCACUACUGUGUGAAGUGACCAUUGAAGAAAAUUUCAAGCAAAGACAACUAAGCAGCAAGAGACAGCAAAACAGCAUUAAGCCACUAGUCUUACUGUCCAUCUGCAAGGCAACUAGAAGGUAAGUAUCAAUAUAAGUAAGUUUCAUUAUCCAAAAUAUUGAACUAAGUAA